rnacentral:lncRNA from 1 species
GGGCCCCCGCCCUGGUUCAGAUACCAUUUUGUCAUACCUCGCUCACCGCCCCUCAGGCUUAAAAGCCUUUUCGUUGUCACCACUUACCUAGAUCGAUAUGGCUAGUUUUCUAGCGAGAUUUCUAGCUUGAAUUAAGGCUUCGAAGCCCCUCUCCUCUCUCUGUAACUAGAGAGGUAGGCAAACCUGAGUUUAGAGCCACCUCGAUUCGGGAUGUCGGAACAUCAACCGGAUCGGAAACCGAAUCCUAAAGUGACUUCGGAACAGGUUCGAGAGCUUCGAUCGAAAACCUUUCCUAAUCUCCUCUCUCUGUAACUAGAGAGGUAGGAAAACCUGAGUUUAGAGCCACCUCAAUUCUGGUUGUCGGAACAUCAACCGGAUCGGAAAUUGAAUCCUAAAGUGACUUUGGAACAGGUUCGAGAGCUUCGAUCAAAAACCUUUCCUAUCUAGUGUCAGCUGAUCCUUCAGCGUCUGCACCAACUAAAUCGGAAGCUUAAUUCGAAAGAAGAGAGUAGGCUCGAGGAUAGAAGUAGCUCGAACGAAUGUGAGAGGAGGAUCAAAAGACUGAUUCUCGGUCCCCUAAAGUUAGAAAGCUGGUUAGACUGCAAUCUAUGCCUAUGGAAAGAAAAGUCACGAAAAGCGAUCCAUAUGAUCAUAAAGAAAGGCUUGCCUAUACGUCUUUCUAGCGUACGCGCGGUUCCUUUCGAUUGGAGCCUGUCGCUACCUGGAUCAAUCAGCCUAUUCUAGCUUGCCUAUACGUCUUUCUAGCGUAUGCGCGGUUCCUUUCGAUUGGAGCCUGUCCCUACCUGGAUCAAUCAGCCUAUUCUAGUUCGCCUUGUGUCAUCCGAUUUUAAGGAAUUCAUUGGAUCGUGAAGUUGCUUCACACCUGGCCAUAUCGAGGGAAUGAAAA